UACGUAGGUGGCAAGCGUUAUCCGGAAUUAUUGGGCGUAAAGCGCGCGCAGGCGGUUUCUUAAGUCUGAUGUGAAAGCCCACGGCUCAACCGUGGAGGGUCAUUGGAAACUGGGGAACUUGAGUGCAGAAGAGAAAAGCGGAAUUCCACGUGUAGCGGUGAAAUGCGUAGAGAUGUGGAGGAACACCGGUGGCGAAGGCGGCAUCCUGGACCGGCAUUGACGCUGAGGCGCGAAAGCCAGGGGAGCAAACGGG
rnacentral:rRNA from 1 species